AGAUUGAGGCCAUGAAGAUAAGAGCCAGUGCUCAGCUGAGGAGCUGGCCAGGUCUCAGAAGAGGCUUGGUGGGAGAUUUUGCCAGUUUGAGUAAUGCAUUGACUGACUACAUACUGAGACUACUGAGCUUUGCUGAAAUCUAGAACAGGAAGGAGGGUUUCAUGAGUAAUAGCUCACUGAAGGUAUUUGAUGGUUAACAUCUACCACAACAGAGUAGAUGUUGUGAAGCUGAAAUGCAGUGGAAAUCUGACUGACACAGGGGACCUCAGCUCCUGCCUCUCAAUGAGCUCAGCACCCCCAGGGACUGCAGCUGCACUUUCCUCUCGGUGGCAGCUCAGCACAGAGCUGUCUGUAACCCACAGUGCUCACAGUCACUAGGUACACAGGCCGCUGCCUGCCUAUCAGCAGUGUGUCAACAUGACCUGCCCUGGGCUGUGUCAGCAGAGCUGCCCAAAUGUUCCGGGAUCCAAGGAGGAGCAAUUCCCCCUCAGCAGGCUGGCUGACGUCAGGGCACCAUGGUGGUGUGCUCUGGGGAGCUUUGGAAGGGCUGGGGCACACUCAGCCAGCCUGCUACAAGCCUCAAACCAGAACUUUGGUCCAAAUGCUACUGAAGUCAGUGGGAAGGUUGGCAUUGACUUCUGUGAGCAUCAGCUCAAUUACUUCAAGAAGAAAAAUUUCAGUCCUCAUGGACCUUCAGAGCAGGUAACAAUGGUGGCUGAGAACAACAGCUCUGGUAACGUUGUUAGGGUAACAUCCAUCCAACAAGAACUAAACCAAGACACACUUCUUUGCCAUUCCCCAUGUGACAUCCACAGACAAAAGCUCUCUGCUGCUGCCUCCUUUGGAUAGUGUUCAAAACACUGAAUGAAAUGCAGAAAAUCUAAAUAAAUAAUUUUUUCACCUGUCCUACUUUUUAUUUAACUCUCCUGCAGUUUAAGAAUCAACACUGGAGAAAUGCUUUUCACCAACAGCAACUGAAGUUCCUGCUGUUGCACUUUCUUAAUUCUGAUCAACUUUAGCCACU